rnacentral:rRNA from 1 species
AUUGAACGCUGGCGGAAUGCUUUACACAUGCAAGUCGAACGGCAGCACGGACUUCGGUCUGGUGGCGAGUGGCGAACGGGUGAGUAAUAUAUCGGAACGUAUCCAAUAAUGGGGGAUAACUAAUCGAAAGGUUGGCUAAUACCGCAUACGUCCUACGGGAGAAAGCUUGGGACCUUCGGGCCUGGCGUUAAUGGAGCGGCCGAUAUCGGAUUAGCUAGUUGGUGAGGUAAAGGCUCACCAAGGCGACGAUCCGUAGCUGGUCUGAGAGGACGACCAGCCACACUGGAACUGAGACACGGUCCAGACUCCUACGGGAGGCAGCAGUGGGGAAUUUUGGACAAUGGGCGAAAGCCUGGUCCAGCCAUUCCGCGUGAGUGAAGAAGGCCUUCGGGUUGUAAAGCUCUUUCGCAAGAGAAGAAAACUUACCCUCUAACAUAGGGUGAGGUUGACGGUAUCUUGAUAAGAAGCACCGGCUAACUACGUGCCAGCAGCCGCAGUAA